AGAAAAAUAAGCUAUCUUAAGCUUAUAGGUUCAUACCCUAUGUAUGAAUAUUAUAUUCUUUUUCCA
rnacentral:tRNA from 1 species